CCGAGCCCCAGCCCGAGCCCGAGCCCCAGCCCCAGCCCUCCAUCCAAUCUCUUAGCUCUCGCCCCUCAUGUCCAACCCCAGCCCCAGCCCAGCUUCUCCCUAUAGCCUCUCUAGUCUUCACUGACUCAGUGCUCAAAUUAAGGUGUCCUGUACCCAUCCUGAUAGACUGAGAGAUAGCCUGUCUAUCCAUACUAGCCAAGUCACUACUUUCAGUUAAUGUCCACAGUCCCAUUUGUCCAUGGUCUCAUGUUAGACUAAUUCUUGUACCCCAUAUGCUAAUUAAGAAAUGUUAAAUUAAACAAGAACUUCAUAUCAGACAAUUACCACCCAUAGUUCAAGUUACUAUCUUCUCAGUUCACCUUCUUUAAGGAAGGAAAAACUAUUCUGUCAUUGCUGCAGUAGUCACAGUCCCAAUUCUCUGAGCAGAGCUCAGUAGUCUUUACUCACAUUCUGUGUUGACCACCUAGAACUUUGCAUUGAAUACAAUUCUAAUUGUCCAUAUUAGAUCCUAGUCCAAAACCCAUUUAUAUUCAGCAGAGGGAGCAGAUCAAAGUUUGUUAUUGAACAAUGUGCUCAGUCCCAACUUUAAUGGCCACUAUAGCCUAUCUGAAUAUUAAAAUGGUGAGAAAUCACCCUGGGCCAUGUCUUUUAAAUUGAUGAUGAUCAUCAAUGCCUCUGUCCAUGAUACUGUGUACUAGUCCCCUCUACUCUCUUUAUUUCAGCAGAGGAUCCUUAGUAAUCAGGACCUCUGCAUUAUAACAGUUUAUAUGCAUAAUCCUAAUUGAUAUCAAGGUCCCUGUACCAUCUUUGCUUUACAUCAAGAGGGUGCUGGUAACCGAAAAGCCCCUUCUCAUAAAAUUGUUGUCCUAAACUGCUGUUGUCCAACUCCUUCUGUUAGCAACCAGUACCCCAUACCCUCACACCCUAAUGGGUGACAACAGAGAGGUGACAAAAACUAAGGCCACUCACUUCUCUGAUGUGUUGUUCUGAGGACAGAAUCUAGUUAUGUGAAUGCUAAGAAAGUACUCUAACAUUGGACUAUAUUCUCAGCCUGUGGUUAUUUGAGAUAAUAUCUCCUUAUGUAGCCCAGGCUAGUUUUGAAUGCAUAAUCUUGUUCUCCAUUUCCUGAUGCUGUGAUUACAAGCAUAUGCCACCAUUCCUGGCUGUUUUUUAAUCUGCUAAUGUGCACAGUUCCAUACGUCCCACUGAGCACUGGAUUAAAAAAAAAAUACUCAGUUAUUUCUUUUGUAUUUAACAGUGGAUGACUUCUACCCAAGACCUUUGCAUUAUGAUAGUCAAUGCCAAUGAUGGUAACUGAUCACAAUUAAUGUCUUCCUGAUCAACCUUUCUGUGUUGUAUAACAAGGGGUAUUAAUUAACUACAUGGUUACCUUCACCCGGGACUACGAAUGUGCAAAAUUCAAUGUUCCUGGUUCUGCCCUUUAAAGUAACAUUUACCCCUUUUGUAUUAUAGCAAGUGAUGCUAGCAACCCGAAUUGGGACUCUUUCUUGAGGUUCUGGGUCUUGAACCCAGGACCGUGGGCAUGCCAAGCAAAUGCUCUAUCACUAAAGGUACAUCUCCAGCCCUUGUCUGAGAAAGUCUAUCUAGCACAGGCUGGCCUCAAACUCAUGGUCCUCCUGCCUACUGGCUCAAAUUGGGACUUUUAUUGUAUGUAUUUCCAAUUAUUUAUAGUCCAUUAAAAAUAGACUAACAUUUUGACUUCUUGUUAUGGAAGGGGUACUACCCGCCUGAAGUCUUUUGGAUAGUAAAUGAGCAAAACUGCGUUAGCAUCACAUCAACUUAUACCGUCUUUGCACAACAGUUUUCAUGCCUCCUACACUGCUUAAAGCAGGUAAUUAAUGUUAAAUAAGGCAGAUUCUAUGCUCUUUCUCCAUUUGCAUUACUGCAGGGCCUUCUAAAAUGGCAAGAUCAAAUCUAUGUUUUAUUUCAGAGUAAAGAUCUUGUGAUACAGCCCAGGCUAGCCUGAACAUUUACAUAUAACUCAGGCAGGCCUUCAGCUUGGGCUCUUCCUGCUUUAGCCUCCUAAGUGCUGAGCGUACUGGUGUAUAAUACCUGCAGCCUCUCUGAUUGUGAAUAUACAUAUUUCAUUUGUUCCAGUAGCACAUGCCAUACUGGGUAAAGAACUCAUCCACUCUAUAUAUUCCAGCUGGAGGUGCCUGCUACUUAAGAUCCUUAAACUAAUACAUGUGCACAAUCUUAGUUGUCUUGUACAUAUUUUCAUGUCUAUAGCUAUGCCUUUUUGAUCACAACUCCUGUACUUAUCAAAGCAGAGGGGCCAACUAAUAUAAAUCCCUCUUCAUGAUUAUGGACAUAAAGAAUUGCAAUUGCCAUUGGUCUUUCAAAUUAGACUUCUGAUGGUUCAUACCAUCUUUGCUUUAUAAACGUAAGUGUUGUUUGCUUAGGGCUCCUUUCUCAGAUUGUUACUAUGCAGUGAUAAUUGUAUACAGAUUAAAUUCACCUUCUCCUUGAAGUGCAGCAGGGAUGUUGACCCCUCAGGCCCCACUUUGUGGCCGGAUAGUAAAUGUCCUUUUGUAUUCACUACAAAAGGAAUUCAUUCCCUAACUUUCUACCUUUCCCUUCGAGCAGGGAAUGAACAUUGCAAAAUAAUCUUACAUUUAAACACUCAAGGUGAUAAACUCUAAUGACCACAUCAUACACCCUGAGUAUUUAUGGACAUAACUGCACAUGGCUCAGUACGUUGAAAGAUCUUACUCUCAGACCCUUUUGCAGUACAGCAAGGGUCACCAAAGCCCCUCUUGGCUUCUGCAUGCUCCUGAACAGCAGAAAAGCUUCAGGAGAAAUAUCAACACUUUAAGAUCAAAAAAGUAUGUGGUUUUCUUUGACCACACUAUGUCCCUGUGGGCAUUAAUAUACAUAACAGGGACAUGAUUCGUCCAGCUGAGCCAAGUUCUACCCUCUCUCCUUUCAUUUGCCAAGGCUGCUGACCAUUAAAUUCUCUUUCCCUGGCCUGGUAAUGUGCAGAAUUGUGUUUGUGUGGGUUCUUAUGCAAGUAUAUCCCACUUUUGACUUUCCUCUACUGCUUAAUAAGCAGUGUGCAUUGCUUAAGACCUUUCCAUCUGGACAGUCAAUGUGCAUAAAUGCUGUUGUCCACAACUCCAUUCUUUUAAAGGUCAUUGUAUAUCCUUUGCACUACUGCACAGAGAACUGUUUUCACCUAAGGUCUUUCUACCGGUGGGCCGUUAAUGUUUAUAACAAAUCUGCUUUUGUCUUUGUUGGACUAAGGUUAUGCUCCACCUUUCUUCUGAAGUACUGGAGUGUGUACAAAUCAACCAAGGCCCUUGUUUUUUGGACUGUUAAUAUGUACAAUUGAAUUUCCUACUGUCCUGUGCACUUGAAAAGGAUCCCAGUUACUUUCUUAAUGUGUUUAGCAGGAAGUGCCACUACCCAAGACUCUAAAGUUCACAUGGGCAUAUCUUAUAUAAGCACUCCUGUUCUCUCUUUGCUUUAAAGCAGAGAUGCUUUUCCCCAGUGCCCUUCUUUUCUUGGAUUUUGAUGUACAUGAAUGCAAUUAUCCAUCCAUACUUUUAGAGUAAGAUUUCAACUCCUCAUAUUCCCUUUAUAUCAGUGGCAUGCUAAGUAUGAAUGAGCCCUUCUCUUGUGAGUAUUAAUAAUGCCCAGUUAUGUUUAUCUGUGGGCCUGUGUAGCAGGAAAAGACCUUAUAUUCUUACCACUGCCUUUUGACUGCUACUGCUGAGAAGUAUUAAUGACCUCAGCUCUUGGACAACUACUGUCCAAUAAUAUCAGUUAACAAAAGUACUGAAGAGUUUGGACCUCUGUACCAUCUUUGCACACAUCAAGGUACUGACCAUAGCAGGAAAGGACCUUAUGUUCUUACCACUACCUUUUGACUGCUACUGCUGAGAAGUAUUAACUCCUUAUGACCUCAGCUCUUGGACAACUACUGUUCAACACUAUCAGUUAACAAAAGUACUGAUGAGUUUGGACCUCUGUACCAUCUUUGCACUUAUGAAGGUACCGGCCAACUAAGAACUCCCACCCCUGGAAUGUAAUGUGAUUACUUGCAAUGAAAAAUAUCUAAGAUACUAUAUCUCAUAGCCCUUUUGCAUUACUGAAGGGGCUGCUGAUCCUCCUGGAACAUACCUUGGGACUGUUAAUGAGCACGGAGGCAAUUACCUAUGGCUUGUUGUCUUCCCUAAAACUUAUCUUGGGACUGCUAGUCAAUAGGCACAAUGGCAGUUAUCAUUCAUUUCUCCCUGCUUUGUUGAGCAGGCACAAUAAAAUAUGAACAGUGCACUAUGCCAUGUACUUGUGCAUCAAACAAUGAUCCAUAUUCCUAUACCUUUUGCACUGUUCCAAAUAUAAAAUCUCGAGUGUCCAUGGUCUCACCCUUUAUACAAUGUCUUCCCUCUCCCCUCCCCUUGCCUGCCCUUGGACCAUUUCCACAGAUUAUUACUGCCCACAACCCAGCCAUUAGCAAAGAUUUUGUUCCCUCACCACCUUCCCAUCACACUGCCCCUUCGUAUGCCUCUUGUUGGGCAAUAUUGACUGGGCGAGGCCCUUUCUCUUGGACUUAAAAGUCAACAAUCCCACAUACCACUGGUUUAUCCACUUUGUAUGGCUACAAUGCUUCAGUUGCAUUUUCCUUGGUCCCACCCACUAGACACAGUCCCUCCUCUUCCUUUGCAUUACUUCUGAGUAGUGCCAGGCACCCAAAAUGCUUUCUGUGUUUUUAGUGAACACAGGACUGACUUACUGUCCCACUGUUAAGCCUACCAGUCCAAUAUCUCCCUACCACUUUUGAUGUGUCUGCAGUUUAUUCAGUAACAAAAGCAGGCCUGAACUGGAUGGAAGAACCUUCACUUUUUGUCCUACAUUUAUUAAUGAUACAAAUUCCAAUUAUUGGCACAUUCUGGGAACAGGAACCACUCCUUCCCAUCUAUUAAUUACUGCUUGAUUGUGCAAAAUAGUCAAGACCAGUCAAGCUUUGGGAGUUGGAUUGCCACCUUUUAUUUGGGGCAUUCAUUAUGUAGCAUCAAUAGAAAAUUGUCUCCCAGGGAAGGAGGCUUGGCACUUUCUCUAUAUUCCUCCCUCAGAGGCAGACUAUCUGGAUAAGAAACUCUCUUUGUGCAUUGCUAUUGUACAGUGCCGUUUGCCAUGGUAAAAGUUAUUUUUUUAGUUUUAAAGAAAGGCAUUUGAAUAUCAAGGAGGUAUUAAUUUGUGCAGGCACGCACAUGCCUCUGUGUGUGUGUGUGUGCACGCGUGUGUCAGAUCCUUGUUGCUGCAAACGAACACCAGACACUUGCACCACUUUCUGUGUCAUUUACAUGAGUGGCUUGAGAAUUGAACCUGGGCUGGCAAGCUUUGUAAACAAGCGCCUUAGCCAUUUUCCAAGUUCCUCGUUAAUUCAACUUAAAAAAUCCACUAUGUAUUUGGUGACCAGUGUCUCAUUUUACUGAGCGUGGUAUAGCAGAGUAACCACUGUUAUUUCAGUAUUACCAAAGGAGUUCUGAGAGUGGAAUUCUAAGACCAGUAUCUUUGUUUGGGCUGUACUACUUAAACUUUCUAGUUUAUCAUAUUGAGUACUAGCCCCUACUUAUUUUAAGAGGAGUUCUAUAAAAGGAUUGAAUGAAAGAACAUAUAUUAAAUUGCUUUUAAAAAUUAUAAGCCAUCAUUUUUUGAUUAAUCUACUAUCAUCCAAUUAAUUCAUACAUAUUAAUAAAUAUCAUACAUAUUAAUCUACUAACAUACAAUUUAUUUCUGGUAAUAAUUUAAUUGCUUGAAAAACCACUCUAAAGUGAGAACUUACCUUACAAAUGAUGGGAUCUAGUUCUCAUUUUAUCUUGUAAGAAAUAUGCCAAUAUCCAAUCAUCCUCAUAAGCAAAAACUUCAAUACUGAGAUAACUGCCUAGUUACACAAACAAUCACAGCCUCUAGUAUACAGGCUGUUUUGUGGCUACUGAGUAUUUACUAUAAAACUGCUGAAGCAAAUAACUAGUCAUCGCAACAGCAGCUGUUUGUAGUCACUGAAAACAAUACUAUUCCUCUGAGACGUGUCAAGAAGUUCAUCUAGUUCAAGGUCUAUUUGCACUACUGGCUCCUCGGACAACUAUAAGAAGACUCUCUAGCUGUGCAGAACACGGAUGAAUUUGGAGCAAUUUUUGAACCCCCACGUGAAGAGGAAGCAUGACUUGAUUUUUAGAAGAAUUUAUGGCUGCUAGAUUGCAUCCAGAGGACAUGAGAUUCAAGGACUUCAAGCAACAAAAGAGACUCCAAAUUCAAAAGAGCUCCUUUGGAGAAUCUUGACAAGCUCCUGCUAAUAUGCACAGAAAACUUGCAAGCCAUCUGAAAAAAAAAGAUCUUCCCCAGAAAAAUGGGCUCAACUGCCUUGCAGUGUUAGUGACCUAUUCCCUUUGACGAUCCCUAGGUGGAGAUGGGGCAUGUGGAUCCUCCAAGGGAAUGGCUCACUACCACUGGGCAACAGCCCUAGGUCAGGAUAAGAUAUGUUUCUGGACCUAGAUAGGAAGAUGAAGAAUCAAAGACAACCACCAUACGUCAAGAUAGGAGAAUAACUACUACAUCAAUGGCAUUGAUCUCAUGAACAAACCAUUGUAUUACAUCUGGUUCCUAAAGUCUCCCUUGAAGAGAGAGAAUUUUGCCAGUCAUUUGUGUACUUCAGGAUGCACUGGGCGGUCCAUGGGAUAUAUUAUACACAUGUGCAUUGGUUUGUUUAAUUUCUUUCUAUGGCUUGCUUUCUAUUUCUUUUUUAAGUGACUUUGAUUUUUCUUCUAUUCUUCUAUUGGACUGUUUUCUCUCGGUUUUCUUCCUUUGUGUCUGCCUGCUUGCUGGUUGAGUUUUACUGUUUCACCAUAAUUCCUGCUGACUGCUUCUGUGUGUGGCUUUGCCUCAUUUCUCCUCUUGUGCCUUAGUGUGAUCUUUGCCUCAGCAUAAAUGUCUGUUUGUCUCUUUCUCCUCUUGUACGUCUGUGAUUUCCGCCUUGUCUUAAAUGUCUGAUUUUCUCCUCUUGUACCUCUGUGAUUUCCGCCUUGUCUUAAAUGUCUGAUUUUCUCCUCUUGGACCUCUGUGAUUUCCGCCUUGUCUUAAAUGUCUGAUUUUCUCCUCUUGUACCUCUGUGAUUUCCGCCUUGUCUUAAAUGUCUGAUUUUCUCCUCUUGUACCUCUGUGAUUUCCGCCUUGUCUUAAAUGUCUGAUUUUCUCCUCUUGGACCUCUGUGAUUUCCGCCUUGUCUUAAAUGUCUGAUUUUCUCCUCUUGUACCUCUGUGAUUUCCGCCUUGUCUUAAAUGUCUGAUUUUCUCCUCUUGUACGUCUGUGAUUUCCGCCUUGUCUUAAAUGUCUGAUUUUCUCCUCUUGUACCUCUGUGAUUUCCGCCUUGUCUUAAAUGUCUGAUUUUCUCCUCUUGUACCUCUGUGAUUUCCGCCUUGUCUUAAAUGUCUGUUUGUCUCAUGCUGUCCUCGUGUGCGUUAGUGUGAUCUCUGCCUUGCUUUAAAUGUAUCUCUCAUUUUGUCCAUUCCAUUGCUACUUCUCUUUGCUCAUCUAGAUCUGGUUCUUUCACUCUUUCUUCCUUUAAUGUUCCUCCACACCUUACUACUGUUUGUACCUCGCUUGUUCUUCUCUGUGUGAACUUUGUCACCACUUCCUCUUCUUGCUGAUUCAUCAUUUCACAUUUUUCUGAUUCUGGCCUCCUGUCUGUUGUUGCUACUUUCUUUUCUACAUAGCCUUUCUGACUCUCUUGGGCAGUUUUUCCUCUCUUUUUUUCUCCUCUGUAUUUGUGUCUUUUUGUUCCUUUCUGCCCCUCUUGGGGUGUUUUCUCUCUCCUUCUUCGUAUCUGUGUCAUUUUGCCAUCUAUGCUUUUCUGUUUUAGCAUGACUUGUUUAUUUGUGCUUGCUUGUGUUUCUCUUUUAUUCUUAUAUUUUCUACUUGCCUUUGAGUAUUUCAGUCUGAGUUCCUGUCUCUUUCAUGUAAUGUUAUCCUCUCUCUUGACUACUUCUUUGUGUGAAUGCACGUAUGUGUAUGUAUUUUAUGUGUGACAAUAGGCUUCCUAGGCCCUUGUCAAUAGGUACAGAAUGUGAACUACUUACCAAAGCUGCCCGGUGAGAUGACCCAAGACUAAAGCACAGCACUGAAGAGCCAGGAUGGAUGGAUACAGGAGACCUGGGAUGGAAGACAGAUAUUUUGCUACAUGAGACUUAAAGACUAAGAUGAAAAGCCCAAGUUUCAAGAUAUAUGGAAGCUAAAACCUGACACCAACAGAAGACGUCUUUGGGCUAGAUGGAACACUCAAGAUGUGAGUUAGACAGAAUGCUGAAGAUGCAAAAUAGGGGCUGUUUGAGACAUGUGACACAAAACCUCAAACUAGAAAGCCAGGACUCAAGCCUCCUUACAUGGACAAAAGGCUUAAGAGAAACACAUAUCUCAAGACUGGAAGUUGGAGGCCUGUGACUUAGAACUCAGGAAGGAUAGAAACUCUAAAACCAAGGGGAAUCUGAAGAUGAGAACAUUAAUCUCAGCUUUCUUAUUGUUAAACCUCUUUCUUUUGGACAUUUUUAGAUGUCUCCUGCUUGUUCCCUGAUUUCCAUUUAAACCUGCUUCUUUUGAGAUGUAUUUUGGAUGUUGCCAGUUACCUUUAAAGAACUUUGUAUAUUGACAGUAUUAUGCAUGAGCCAAUCUUUUAGUCAUGGUUUAAGCUGCUUGCAAAAGUUUUAGUAUCUCUUAAAACUUGCAAGAUUCUCAUUUGCUUCACUUGAAAGAGACAACAAAAUCUAGCCAAUAUGUCUAGUCUGAAUUUCGUUAUUCCCCUGAGUAGCAAGCAUACAGACACUGUAUUUCCAUCUUCUCUAUCUCAGAAGCCCUAAGCUGAUGAAAAGAGGAAAAAAGAUGUUAGGUUAUCUAGAGAAAAGGUGAAGAGAUGCUCCAGGCCAAUGAGAAGAAUUAGACAAGAAAAAUACAAAUGUGCCAUCCUUCUGAGAAGCACCAGCCAGCAUCAUCUUUCUUUUCUGAGUUUAGGUGAGGAGAAUUCCUGGGAUUUGGAUUUCUAAUAAUGGUUACAGAAAAAAUAUAUGGGCCUGGGUUAGUGACAUGUGAACUCCCUGCUCAUAGUAGUGGCCAAUUUAUCUGGUGGAUUUCACCAAAUCUACUCCUGGGUUUAAUACCCACUUCUAGGCUUAAAGUACUUGGGACAACUUUAAUGGGUUUUAAUCUUCACCUUGACUCUUCCCCUCUUAAUAAGGGAAGCAGAUUGAAACAACUGAUACCAUGUAUGAAUGCACUGUAAAUCACAGGAGGAAAAAAAAGUAAUGUGCACUCAUUAAUAACAUUGGCAAUGAUGUGUAGUUGAUGUUUGAAAGUGCUAUUUGAGUCAUGAAGCAUGAUGGAAAUCAGAGGCCCUCACAUUUUUCCUAUAAGCGCUCAGAUUAUAAAUACUUUGAGCUCUGUGGGCCACACAACACAGUCUCAGUUGUAAAAUCUUUAAACCUUUUCAAAAGGUAACAAUCAUUAGUAACUUUAAAGUCAAAUAGAUCUGGCCCAACGGCUAUAAUUUACCAAGCCCGGAUAUAAAUGCCAGAGAAUAUGUCUGAAUAACAUUAACUUUCUUCUCUGUGCUUACUCUUGGGCUGACUGCUAAGAAUGUGAUGCAUAUUGGUGAUCUCAUCCAGAUGCCAUGAAUUUAGAAAAAAAUGCAUUGAAUAGGACUUGUAAAUCAUACAGAACAUGAGACUUUAUGUUUCAGUGUGGAUAAAUGAAUGUUUAUCACCCUUUGUGUGCAUUCUACUGCACUAUGUAUUGUAGAAUCAAAUAUUAAAAGAAGCAUUAGUAAACUAGUGCUUUGUCAAAAUUAUGUAAAUGUAAUGAGGGUUGAAUGAUAAGUAACUUGCAUAUGCUAUGGUGACUUGCACAUGGAAGCUAAAUCUAAACUAUAAGAUGCACCACAAAUAUACACAAUUAUGCUACUGUGGUCAACUAUAACAUACCAAAUAUCAUGUUAGGCAUUUCAGAACGAAAAUGCUUAUUCUAAUGCUUUGUAAACUAAAGCACUUCACAUAUGUCAAUAGCCAAGUGUUUAUAAAUGAAUGAAUACUAGUAACCUCUUACCAGAUAAUGAGUACAUGAAAUCCAAGAUUAAUUCUCCCAAGUUAAAUCUGUCAUGUAAUAGGAGAAUUUAGAGUCUCUACUGUUUAUGCAUAAGGAAUGAGCUAAUAAAUUAAUCAGUUAAGCCUUUACUGGUGAAGCAAGUUAAUGCCAGUAUAUUUGCCUAGGUGACAGUUCAUGAUUGAGUGUGCUGUCUAUGCUAUAAAGCCCUAUGUACAUGUCAGACAGCACACAUUUUCUGUAUACAUAAAACUUCUGGAGCCGGGUGUAAUGACACAUGCCUUAAGUACAAUCACUCAGGAGGCAAGGCCAGCCUGAGACUACAUAAUGAAUUGCAGGUCAGAGAAGCCAGUUGUGAUGGUACAUGUCUGUGGUCCCAGUGUUCAGGAAGCCUGGGAACAUAGUGAGACUAAAUUAUAACGAGGUAACACACUUAUAAAUGAAGGGAUUAAAUACCCAUUGAAUGAGUAAAUUAAUAUUGAUUGCCUAACAUUACUGCCUACUCUUAUGGGCACUAGACAGAUACACAUUAUGCCCACAGUUGAUAAUUACAUAUGUUAGCAUUCUGUAAACUCAUAAAUACUAUAUAAAUUUAAUUACUAUUCUUAUUUUGUGCUUACUUGGUUCAUAAAAUUGUAGCACACUUAUUAUACUGUGCAAAUAAAUUUAAAACAUUAAAUAUUAGCAAUUGAAUACUCUAAUGUAAUAUACAAGGUAUUCAAUGUAUGAUGAUUGCAAGAAUAGAUGGCAAUUGUCUAUUAUGUACCAAUGCCCUUGCUAGGCAUUAGGAUGCAAUGACAAAAUAUCUUUAGUGUGUUCUGUAUAUCAGAAGAAAUUGUGUACAAACUCAAUUUAUCAUUUGUAAGCCACCACAUAUGUAUAUAUAAACAACAUCUGCUGAAUGAUUAUUUGCUCUUAUCCUACUUAGACAGCAACUGGAGGAGCAAAAAUUCAUUAUAAAAUAAUAAAUAAAAAAUUAUAAAAAGCUGGGCAUGGUGGUGCAUACCUUUAAUCCCAGCACUUAGAAGGCAGAGGUAAGAGGAUGGCUGUGAGUUUGAGGCUAGCCUGAGACUACAUAGUGAAUUCCAGGUCAGCCUGGGCCAGAGUGAGACCCUAUCUUGAAAAUUAAAAAUUAAACAGUUCACUAUAAUUAAUAUGAAACUUUGUGUGGUGCUGGGAAUAAAACCUAGGGCUUCAUGCAUGCUAAGUAAAUGCUCUAUCACUGAGCCAGCCCUCCUUAUCAUUAUUAUUGAACCUCUAACAGAUCUGUGUGUAUAUGUAUGAAGUCAACAGUUUUUUAAGCAUAGGAAUUAAUUGUUGACUUAAUCAGUGAGUAGUGAUUAUUUUCUCUGAGGUUCAACGCAGCAUGCCUUGAGCUAUAAAAUUGUUUCUAUCCUUAAUUGCUCACAGGAGAAAAAGAAGUAAUGAGUAUGAAAUCUAGACCAAAAAUCUACUUAACCACUAUUAACCUUAGUGAUAAAAAUGACAAUAGAAAAAUAUAUUUGUGUAAGGCAGUGUGCUGAGCUGAAUGGACUAUCCUUUCCAGGAUACUUCCUCUCUACUCAAGAGAUGAAUAUUUAUCAAAACGAAACAAACAAAAAUGAGAUGUGAUUUUUCCAUCCAUUUUCUUAAAUGUUGAGUGCUGGUGAUGGAAAUUAAUUAAAACCACUCUGGUUUCACUUAGACACAGUAAAAGAGUGAAAAUAAAUGGCCAGAAUCAGAUGGCUCCAAGACCAUUUAAAGAACAAGGUGGAGAAAUUUACUUACCUCAUGGUGAUCAGGAAGCAGAGACAAAAGGCCAGAGCACUGGAGGUCAUGCCUCUAGUGACCUACUCACUCUGGCUAGGCCAAACUUACCAAAGUGUCCAGCACCUUCCAAAACAACUCCCAAGGCUGGGGCCAAACAUUCAAAGCAUGAGCUUGUGAGGGAACAUUUCAAUUUCAAAUCCUAACACUUGAUAAGCAAAGUAUCUUUAUGUGGAAUAUGCCAAUUAAGGUCCUAAAGCUAAAUGUCAGGUGGACCUAGUCUAAAGCACAGUAGAUUGCUGAACCACAGCUGGAAACAUGAUUUCCUUGUACAGCCAGGCUGGCUUAUAAUUGGUGAUCCUCUUGGUUGCCCCCAUGCUCAGCCUAUAAAACAUCUCUGUUUGAUUUCAGAGUAAAUCAUAUUUGAGUGGCUGUUCACUUUAAUUUGUUAUAUUUGAUGAAUUAGUUAAGUAGGUUUGGUCCAGAAGACCCAUUGGCUUGCCAUGGAGAUUUAGAAAACUGAAGAAAGGCAAGAUUCAUUCAACAUAAAAUGGUGAUAUUUUUCCUAGUUCUAGAAGCACCAAAGGUCAUUAGUUCACUGACCUGCCUUGAAGCCCAAAGCCUAAUAUGGGGGCUCAAGGUUUGUCUUUUAAAUUCAUUAAUUAAUUCUCCUUUUCUUAUACUUGAAUUGCUUCAGAGGAGAAUUGAGAUGAAAUAAUUGAUUUUAAAGGUAUUUGCUCAUUCCCUGGCUUGGUAGAGUCAGAGAUAUAUAAGCAAUAAGAAAACAUUUUCACACUUAACAUACUAAAAAUUUAUUAAAUCUGAAUAAACUGUAUUUCUUAGGUACUGAGAAUGGAAGAAAUUUAAAAGACCUAACCUCAAAUACAUAUUAUCUCAGUAGCUUACAGUGUAGCGUGGGAGCACAUUAAAUCUAUAGCACUCUCUUUAAUAGAAAAUCUUCCCAAGCAGCUGUGACAUGUAAGACACUGAGAAGGCACAUUGAAAUAACAGAGUACCUUCUCAUGGGCAUGCUUGGUUGAGUGGGAAUACAAGAGCAUUCUAAUUUUAAAUGUCUACAUAUUGUUGAAGUUGACACUGAAUGCUAAAUGAAAUCUCUCUUCUUCUGAUGGCUUAGCAGUUAAAGCACUUACCGGCAAAGCCUAAGGACCCAUGUUCGACUCUCCAGUUCACAUAUGAACACUAGAUGGCGCAUGUGUCAAGUUCAAUUGUGGCUGGAGGCCCUGCCAAUUCUCUUUAAGAACAUGUGGGAAAAAAAGGAAAUUAAUAAAAAAAAGAGAAAUCUAUUACUUUCAAAUAGCACCUUAGUCUGACUUGGAGGUGCAAUGAAAAAUCAAGAAUGAUAUUUUUAUUGAAGAGAAAAAAGUAUCUAUUAGGUCAAGCCAUUUUCUCAACUGAAAAACAUGAGAGGGCAGAAUACAGGAGGAAGGUUACUAGUAGUCAUUCAUUUUCUCAUUUACUCAUAUACUCUACAAAGUAUAUUUGAGACCCUAUUGGACAUAUGGCCUCAGUCCUCAUUUGGGUGCAAAGACAUGAAAAAAAUGCAUGGUUUCCCAGAGAACUUCUGGCUUGUUUUCUGGUUAGCAGCAUGGCUUGGUCCCUAAAUAACAUUGCCUAGUUAAAUCCUACUUCUUAUCUCUUUGACCACUCUGGCCACUAAGAUGAGCAGGUAGCUGGGUUUGUAGUGAGCUUGCUCCUUAAGUUGCUGGAACUUCCCAUAUAACAGACCUUUCAUUCUCCCAGCCCAUGCCUUAUUUUACAUAUGGCUGUGACCACUACUGGUCAGGAAGAAUGACAGCCCACUAGUUGCCAAACCCUCCUCUCAUUAGUAUCAGCCUUGGAGCAAAAUUCAUAUUUGAGCCACAGUUGGUUUUAGAAUGCAUUUACAAGUUGUCUGUUUCAAGUCUUUAUCCUUUACAUGCUGAUGCAUAUAUGCUGUCUGAAUAGGUCUCUUUCAGAAACAGUCCUCAGGUAGAACACAGUAGUUAUUUCUUAGAAUGUUUUCUUUGCCAUAAAAAUGUACACAAGAAGGGCUUGUUAUGGAAAACUAGUGCCAAUGAAUGAAAAUAGCUUAAAAAUUUUAACUGCUUGCUUUUAAAAUUUAAGAAUGAUGGGCUGGAGAGAUGGCUUAGCGGUUAAGCGCUUGCCUGUGAAGCCUAAGGAUCCUGGUUCAAGGCUCAAUUCCCCAGGAUCCAUGUUAGCCAGAUGCACAAG